UGGUGUGUAUGUGUGGGGCCUGGUCAGAUUUAAUCUUAACACUGUCAGGUACAGAAGUGGCUGUCUGAUUUUUUAUUAUCCUCAUAUAUACAUAAUUUUAGCUAAUUUUUUGCCUAAAUUAAAGCUGCACUUAAGAGUUAAGUUUCUUAGAGCAAGAAACGAGACAAAACAGCAGAUACUCACUACCGGUGAAAUGGAGGAUUUUGCUAAAUAUUUGGACUUCAACAGGACUCUUUCUCUGAUAUGUUGCAUGUUUUGGAUUUUCUCACCAACAGAAGGAACCACUAUGUCAAAGGUGGUUGGCAACAGAGUGGUCCUGCCCUGUGACACUGUGAACAACACGCUCACUCAGCUGACGUGGAAAAAGAAUGGGGACAGGCUGUUCAGUUUCAGGCCCCAGAAUCCCUUACACAAGAGUCCAGAAGCUAAAAGACUCAAUAUAAAUAUGUCCGAGUUAGAGAGCCAACGAUAUGCACUGAUCAUAGAGAGAGUCCAGAUUUCUCAUUCAGGAAACUACACCUGUGAGAUAACCACAAAUGAAGGACCUUACUCAAAGCUAUGGGAGCUCAUAAUUACAG